ensembl:snRNA U6 U6 spliceosomal RNA
GUGCUUGCUUCCCCAGCACAUAAGCUAAAAUUGGAACAGCACAGAGAUUAGCAUGGCCUCCGCGCAAGGAUGACACGCAAAUUCGUGAAGUGUUCCAUAUUUAA